rnacentral:rRNA from 1 species
GACGAACGCUGGCGGCGUGCCUAACACAUGCAAGUCGAGCGGGGACUUGGGAGCUUGCUUCCAAGUUCUAGCGGCGGACGGGUGAGUAACGCGUGAGCAACCUGCCUCAAACAGGGGGAUAACGCAUCGAAAGAUGUGCUAAUACCGCGUAAGACCACAGUGCCACAUGGCACAGGGGUCAAAGGAGCAACCCGGUUUGAGAUGGGCUCGCGUCCGAUUAGCUAGUUGGUGAGGUAACGGCCCACCAAGGCGACGAUCGGUAGCCGGACUGAGAGGUUGAACGGCCACAUUGGGACUGAGACACGGCCCAG